AAGAUCAUACUUUUAGGGAUCAUUUCUAUAGUAUGCAUCGCCUGGACGUCAGUCAAAACUGACUAUAACACUAAAACCAGGAUGACGAGUCGUAGCAACUGCUCCUGAGCGUGAGACUUAAAUGAACGUCUGCUUGAUCCCUCAAUGAGAUCUCAGAUGUUCGUUUAACGAGGAUCGUUCCUGUCCGACCUAGUGUCAGACUCGAGGGAGCUGGUGCCUGCUGACUGGU
rfam:Helobdella robusta unplaced genomic scaffold HELROscaffold_414, whole genome shotgun sequence.